AAGUUCACCAACUAAACACACAGUCACACGGGCAGCAGAGCUGACAGAUGCAUCCCUCCUCUGUCCACGCAAAGAAAUCCCGCAAAAAAUAAUGCAACAAAAUUAUCACAAAAAUUUCCCUCCCCUUCCCCUCUUCCUCUUGAAAUCCCCCAUAUAUAUAGCCUUGUCUAUAUACCUAUAUAAUACUGCCACCAAUAAACGUCGAGAAGCAAACAGAAAGAACAAAGAAGAAAGCACAUGAUUUGAGAAGCAGAAGAAACGAAAUCACUCAUUUUUCAAAAGAACAAAGAAGAAAUUACUGAAAAGAAGAAGAAGAAGAUUAUUGAGAUGGCAGCCGUGGCUUUUUCGCCUUGGAUGAUUGGAGUUCAAGAUCGUUUUCCUUUAGACCCGAAAUGCCCUUUUUUUCCUUAUAAUUCCCUGUCUCAUCCUCCUCUCCGGUGCUCCUCCCCUCAACAGUUUCGACAAAUUAUCCGGGCCACCUCUGCUGUUGCUCUUGAACCAGAAGCACAAAUUGAAUCAAAGGAGGGCUCAAAAAUUGACUUGUUUGCCUGCCCAAUUUGCUAUGAUCCAUUAGUAAGAAAAGGUCCUUCGGGAUUUAACCUGCCUGCAAUUUAUAGAUCUGGUUUUAAAUGUAGAACGUGUAACAAGACGUAUUCAAGCAAAAAUAUCUAUCUCGAUCUUACAGUUACUGCUGGUUCAAAGGAUUACAAUGAAUUUAAACCAGCUGGAACUGAGCUAUUUAGGAGCCCUCUUGUUUCCUUCUUGUAUGAGAGAGGCUGGCGUCAAAAUUUUAAUCGUAGUGGUUUUCCUGGGCCUGAUGAUGAGUUCAAGAUGGCGCAGGAGUAUUUUCAACCUGUAGAAGGCGGUGUUCUUGUAGAUGUUAGCUGUGGAAGUGGCUUGUUUUCCAGGAAGUUUGCCAAAUCGGGGACCUAUUCAAAAGUUGUUGCUCUUGACUUUUCAGAAAACAUGCUUCUCCAGUGUUAUGAUUUUAUCAAGAGUGACGAUUCUAUGUUAAACUCCAAUCUUGCUCUCGUAAGGGCAGAUAUCUCCCGACUCCCCUUUCCUUCUGGUUCAGUUGAUGGCGUUCAUGCUGGUGCAGCCUUGCAUUGUUGGCCAUCUCCUUCUAAUGCUGUUGCUGAAAUCAAUCGUAUCUUGCGAAGUGGUGGUGUUUUUGUGGGAACUACUUUUCUUCGUGUCAGUUCAUCAACUCCUGCAUUUUUGAGGCCUCUCAGACAGGCUGGGCGGAACUACAACUAUUUGACUGAGGAGGAGAUCGAGGACGUGUGCACAUCAUGUGGUCUUAUAAACUAUACCAACAAAGUCCAACAAUCGUUCAUCAUGUUUUCUGCGCAGAAACCUUGAAAAUUGGCUUAAUUUGAGUUGGAAAUUAGAUGUUUGCUUCUCAAAUCUUUUCCUUUGCCUGGGGUUAUAAUCGAAGUCGAUUCUUUCCGGAGACCUUUGUGCAGAGCGUACGUCAUUCCAAAUUUCCAGGCUUUGACCAAUGCAGAGCAAGUGGAAAUUUCACACAGUAUCAUGAAUAAUUUGCUAGAUAUGUGUUUAACAUUCUGGCGUUCGCUGUCUUCUCUGGCACCCCGUUGGGCUCCGAUGUUUAUUCCAUGGCAUUGACUAUGACAACUGCUUUUAGAUUAAAUGUGGUAAUAGUUGUCAACAUCUCACGGUGCUACUUGUCGAAUUUUCCUUGAACAAGUGAAUGAUGGGUAAUUCGAAGUCAAGGAUGUCUUAAACACGUAGAAUUGCAGGAAUAAGGGAUCAAAGCAUAAUAUUGUGUGCUAGUCAGUGGAUGGUGUUUUCUGUUUUAGCAGAGUAUGUCAAGAAACUACUCUAAAUAUUCUUUUGUAAGGAAAAUAGGAAUGUGACAGAUCUGAAGGAUUUCUAUCCCUUCAUGUUUAGACAC